AUCAUCUUGUAAGAGAGCUGGGGUCCUCCUAGCUCCAUCCUCGCACCGAGGGAAAACCCAGUCUCUUGGUGCUGAGAAGAAACCAUGGCACAGCCCUUCUCAGUUCUCCAGCAACCCUGGACUCUGCAGGAGAACAGAGAGACUCCCUACAUUUGUUUCUAUGAGAGAAGGGAAGGCUGGAGCAGGGAGUGGGGGAAAUCUCUGCAGUCCUCUCGGAAAGCAAACCCUUCCACACCUGUGAUCCCAUGCGAUUUUAGCAGAGCCCUGAGUUAAAACUAGGCCAUGAUGACGUUUAGUGACACAAACAUCUGACAAAAGAGCUGUACCCUUUAUAUUUGCAAAGGCUUCCUACAAAUUAAGAGAGGCAGAAGACCCAUUUAAUGGGCAAUGGACUUGAAGAGACAUUUUACCAAGGAUAUCCAAAUGGCCACACACACACACACACACACACACAAAUGGGAAGGUGUUCAACUUCAUUAGUCAUUAUGGAAAUUAAACCACAAGGAAGUAUCAAAACACUGCAGCAGCAGAACUAAAAUGGAAAAGACGAACAACCAACUAUUUGCAAGUAUAUGGGGCAAAUGCAGCUUCCUCACAUUGCUGGCAGGAUGGUAACCUGGGAAGCUGCUUUGAGAAAUGGUUUGUCAGUAACUAUGAAAGCUAAAGGUACAUAUAUCAUCCCUGAGCAAUUCCACUGCUAGGCAGACACCUGAGAGAAAGAACUCUGUGUGUGCUCCAAAAGACAUGGACAGAAAUGUUCAUGGUAGCUUUAUUUAUAGGAGCCCAAAACUAGAAAUACAAAAUGUUCAUGAAGAGAGGGAUGAAACAAUACAUUGCAAUACAUUCAUAUGAUAAAUACUACACAGUAAUAAAAAUAAAAACACACAGCAUGGAUCCACACUUCAUCCAGUGUUGAGUGAAGAAAGCCAGGAUCAAAUAACUAUAUACUGUAUAAUUCCCCUUAGAGAAGGUUCAAAGACAGACUACACUAAUUUACGGUGAUAAAGAUCAGGAGACUGGCCACUCUUGGGGAAGGCGGGUACAAACUGGAGAGGAGGCAGGAGAACCUGCUAAGAUGCAGAAAAUUUAUUUUUGAGACGGAGUUUUGCUCUUGUUGC